AGCUUUGCGCAGUGGCAGUAUCGUAGCCAAUGAGGUUUAUCCGAGGUGCGAUUAUUGCUAAUUGAAAUCAUGUGUGAAUGUUUUUGUGGCUAUGGGCAAUUUAUAACUUAAUUGAGAUUA
ensembl:snRNA U4 U4 spliceosomal RNA